AACGACUCUCGGCAACGGAUAUCUCGGCUCUCGCAUCGAUGAAGAACGCAGCGAAAUGCGAUACUUGGUGUGAAUUGCAGAAUCCCGCGAACCAUCGAGUCUUUGAACGCAAGUUGCGCCCGAAGCCAUUCGGCCGAGGGCACGUCUGCCUGGGUGUCACGC
rnacentral:rRNA from 1 species